GCACUCUCUGUCUCACAUUCCAUGUUAUAUCACAGCACUCUCUCUCUCACUUUCUCCCACACUCCAUAUCACAGCACUCUCUGUCUCACAUUCCAUGUUAUAUCAAAGCACUCUCUCUCUCACUCUCUCCCACACUCCAUAUCACAGCACUCUCUCUCUCACUCUCAUCCACACUCCAUAUCACAGCACUCUCUCUCACUCUCUCCCCCACUCCAUUUCACAGCACUCUCUGUCUCACAUUCCAUGUUAUAUCACAACACUCUCUCUCUCACUCUCCCCCACAC